ACGUCGCAUGCUCCCGGCCGCCAUGGCGGCCGCGGGAAUUCNNNNNNNUACGGGAGGCAGCAGUGGGGAAUAUUGCACAAUGGGGGAAACCCUGAUGCAGCCAUGCCGCGUGUGUGAAGAAGGCCUUCGGGUUGUAAAGCACUUUCAGUUGUGAGGAAAAGUUAGUAGUUAAUACCUGCUAGCCGUGACGUUAACAACAGAAGAAGCACCGGCUAACUCCGUGCCAGCAGCCGCGGUAAUACGGAGGGUGCGAGCGUUAAUCGGAAUUACUGGGCGUAAAGCGCACGCAGGCGGUUUGUUAAGCUAGAUGUGAAAGCCCCGGGCUCAACCUGGGAUGGUCAUUUAGAACUGGCAGACUAGAGUCUUGGAGAGGGGAGUGGAAUUCCAGGUGUAGCGGUGAAAUGCGUAGAUAUCUGGAGGAACAUCAGUGGCGAAGGCGACUCCCUGGCCAAAGACUGACGCUCAUGUGCGAAAGUGUGGGUAGCGAACAGGAUUAGAUACCCUGGUAGUCCACACCGUAAACGCUGUCUACUAGCUGUGUGUGUCUUUAAGACGUGCGUAGCGAAGCUAACGCGCUAAGUAGACCGCCUGGGGAGUACGGCCGCAAGGUUAAAACUCAAAUGAAUUGACGGAAUCACUAGUGAAUUCGCGGCCGCCUGCAGGUCGACCAUAUGGGAGAGCUCCCAACGCGUUGGAUGCAUAGCUUGAGUAUUCUAUAGUGUCACCUAAAUAGCUUGGCGUAAUCAUGGUCAUAGCUGUUUCCUGUGUGAAAUUGUUAUCCGCUCACAAUUCCACACAACAUACGAGCCGGAAGCAUAAAGUGUAAAGCCUNNNGUGCCUAAUGAGUGAGCUAACUCACAUUAAUUGCGUUGCGCUCACUGCCCGCUU
rnacentral:rRNA from 1 species